UCGGCCCAGUUUAAAAAAAAGUGUAGCGGCCCAAAUCUAUAUUUCCCUUCUUCUUUUCUCUUUUCUCUUUUUUUCUUUUUGGAGGCCCAACUUCAGGGAGGCCCAAUUUAUGAAUAAAGAGGAUGGCCCAAAAUUAGUGGCCCAACAUACUCCCUACACCGUCAGCCUCUCACUCUCAUCUCCUCCUCACUUUCCCCCAAUUCAAACUCCAAAAUUCACAAUUGGAACCCUAGUCGUCGAUCCUAGCCUUGGCGUCAACCGCCGCCGCCGAACCGCCAUGCACCAUCUCCGUUCCUCCGUCGCGGGCAUCGCGUCGGUGCUCCUCUGUCUCUUCUCGGUUCGCGGUGCCUUUUGCGAUGGCGUCGGGUAUCCAGACACGACAUCACCACCACCGCCCGCCGUCUAGGAUGAACAGCCGUCUUACUGCUGUCGUCGCAUCCAUCUUAUCUCCCUUCGACGACGCUGAAUCUCUCGGCUUAGGAGUGACACGCAUACGGCGGUUCUGCCGCUACCGAGACCCCGUAGCAGCUCAUCGUCUAAUCGGACCGUCACCAUGCCGAGGCUAAGUCCCUACUAGUUUAUCUUGUUUCCCUUGUUAUUGGUUGGUAUUAGUUCGCGUUGAAAUAACAGAUUCGAGCAAGGUUUUGAUUUGGGGCUUAGGGUUAUUAGUAUCUAUUUUAAAAGAUUGAUUCUUUCUCAUGUUGACUGUGUUUCUAUGUGACUGAUUCUAUGUGGAAAGGAGGCUUACUAUUCUUCUCAGAUUCUCAUGUUAUUAUGAAUCGCUUUCAUGCUUUGUUUCUAUCAUGCUCGAAAAGAUGCUAUUAGACUUAAGAUUUUGAAUUGAUGGGUGUUACCUUUCCCCUGCACCUCUUCUAAAUUUGCUAAGCUGCUCCUCUCCUCGGUCUUGAUCUCCCUCACUCCUCCACUUGCUGCUCCAAUUAGUGAGUAUAUUGUUAUGUGAUGGAGGGUGAAACCGAGGCAAGAGGUAUUUAUAGGGGUUGUAACUGAAAGCUGCAAGUUUGUUACUAAAUGUCAGGGGAAAGGAGAUCGUCGGCUGCCCCUUUGAUUUCCUGCUCCUUCCUGCAACGUUGCAGACAUGUACUCGGUGCUGUUAAGGGGCUGUUGUAUUCUUGUGCACAAGAAGGUGCAGAGGCUGUUGACUGAGGUCUGCAAUAUGGUUAACUGAAAUUCUGCAACUGGAGCUCUGCAGAGCUGCUGCAGUCGUGCCCUUUUCUUGGCUUGUAGCGGCUGGACAUGGGCUGGAGAUGUGCAGGAGUUGCACUACUGCAGGUUGUCCCAAAUGGUGAGCCUUUCGUACUCCUCCCGGAGUGGUCCCGUUGUUCUAGGCCGAUAGGCUGAUCGGGAGCCGCGGUGGGUGCGGUUUGGGCUCGGGAGACGAAGGCCCAAAAUUAGCAUUUCCAAAAAUUGUAAUAGAAUAGUGUCUUUCCCCUUUUUUCUCAUGUGCAUACUGUUUCCUUUGUUCUCUUUGAACAUUUGUAAUCUUAGACUUUGUUUGAAAUAAUAAAAUGUUGUGUUACUCAAGAAAUAAA